rnacentral:lncRNA from 1 species
UUUCACAAGAACCAUAUUUUAACUUCCGAGUGCAAACUACGCAAAACAGCUCAACGACUACUUGACGGAAACUCGGGAAUGGCAUUUCGGUCAUGGACCCAUCUUCCUGGAAUAAAAAAAGGGCAAAUCAUAUAUCAUUGUGUAGCUCUCGGAAAGAGCUUUUCAGAAUGGUAUGGCACGCUUCCAUCGGACUCCCGGAUUGAAAGUUAUGAGCGACCGAGCGAACAGCGCGUACGUACUUCGACACGGCGG